rnacentral:rRNA from 1 species
GACGAACGCUGGCGGCGUGCUUAACACAUGCAAGUCGAACGGAAAGGCCCCUUUGGGGGUACUCGAGUGGCGAACGGGUGAGUAACACGUGAGUAACCUGCCCUUGACUUCGGGAUAACUUCAGGAAACUGGGGCUAAUACCGGAUAGGAAUCAUUGCUGCAUGGUGGGGGUUGGAAAGCUUCGGCGGUUUUGGAUGGACUCGCGGCUUAUCAGCUUGUUGGUGGGGUAGUGGCUUACCAAGGCUUUGACGGGUAGCCGGCCUGAGAGGGCGACCGGCCACAGUGGGACUGAGAUACGGCCCAGACUCCUACGGGAGGCAGCAGUGGGGAAUAUUGCACAAUGGGCGGAAGCCUGAUGCAGCAACGCCGCGUGCGGGAUGACGGCCUUCGGGUUGUAAACCGCUUUCAGCAGGGGCGAAGCUUGUGGUGACGGUACCUGCAGAAGAAGCACCGGCUAACUACGUG